rnacentral:rRNA from 1 species
UACAGAGGUCCCAAGCGUUGUUCGGAUUCACUGGGCGUAAAGGGCGCGUAGGCGGUCGGGUAAGUCUGACGUGAAAUCUCCGGGCCUAACCCGGAAACUGCGCCGGAUACAAUCCGGCUAGAGGAUUGGAUGGGAGACUGGAAUACUUGGUGUAGCAGUGAAAUGCGUAGAUAUCAAGUGGAACACCAGUGGCGAAGGCGGGUCUCUGGACAAUUCCUGACGCUGAGGCGCGAAAGCCAGGGGAGCAAACGGG